AGUGAACGCUGGCGGUAAGCCUAACACAUGCAAGUCGAACGGCAGCACAGUAAGAGCUUGCUCUUACGGGUGGCGAGUGGCGGACGGGUGAGGAAUACAUCGGAAUCUACUUUUUCGUGGGGGAUAACGUAGGGAAACUUACUCUAAUACCGCAUACGACCUACGGGUGAAAGCAGGGGAUCUUCGGACCUUGCGCGAUUGAAUGAGCCGAUGUCGGAUUAGCUAGUUGGCGGGGUAAAGGCCCACCAAGGCGACGAUCCGUAGCUGGUCUGAGAGGAUGAUCAGCCACACUGGAACUGAGACACGGUCCAGACUCCUACGGGAGGCAGCUGUGGGGAAUAUUGGACAAUGGGCGCAAGCCUGAUCCAGCCAUACCGCGUGGGUGAAGAAGGCCUUCGGGUUGUAAAGCCCUUUUGUUGGGAAAGAAAAGCAGCAGGUUAAUACCCCGCUGUUCUGACGGUACCCAAAGAAUAAGCACCGGCUAACUUCGUG
rnacentral:rRNA from 1 species